rnacentral:ncRNA from 1 species
GCGAUGAAGCGGGAGGUUGCGGUCAAAAGACCGGUAAUUUCCGUGGAGUAUGUCCGAUAAACGGGCGACA